rnacentral:rRNA from 1 species
UUUAUUAAUAAGGUCUUUUAAAAAAAAUUAUGCUGUUAUCCCUAAGGUAAUUAAUUUUAAUAAUUUUUAUUAAAGAUUAAUUAUGUUCAAUAAAUAUUGUUAUAUUAUAUAAAAAUUUUUUGAAUUUUAUAAUUACCCCAAUUAAAUUUAAUAAAUUAAUUUAAUUAAAUUAUUUAAUUAAUAAAUUAUUAUAUUAAAUAAAAUUCUAUAGGGUCUUGUCGUCUUUUAAUUUUAUUUAAGUUUUUUUACUUAAAUAAAAAUUUAAAUAUUAUUUAAUUAAAAUAGUUUAUAUUUUAUUUAAUCAUUUAUACUAGUUUUUAAUUAAAAAACAAAUUAUUAUGCUACCUUUGUACAGUUAAAAUUCUGCAGCCAUUUAA